rnacentral:rRNA from 1 species
UACGGAGGAUGCAAGCGUUAUCCGGAUUUAUUGGGUUUAAAGGGUGCGUAGGCGGCCUGUUAAGUCAGAGGUGAAAGGUUGCGGCUUAACCGCAGACAUGCCUUUGAUACUGGCGGGCUUGAAUAAAGUUGAGGUAGGCGGAAUGUGGCAAGUAGCGGUGAAAUGCAUAGAGAUGCCACAGAACACCGAUUGCGAAGGCAGCUUACUAAGCUUUGAUUGACGCUGAGGCACGAAAGCGUGGGGAUCAAAC